UAAGGAAUAUUGGUCAAUGGAGGCAACUCUGAACCAGCCAUGCCGCGUGAAGGAUUAAGGCCCUCUGGGUUGUAAACUUCUUUUAUAUGGGAAGAAAUGUUCUGAUUCUUCAGAGCUUGACGGUACCAUAGGAAUAAGCACCGGCUAACUCCGUGCCAGCAGCCGCGGUAAUACGGAGGGUGCAAGCGUUAUCCGGAUUCACCGGGUUUAAAGGGUGCGUAGGUGGGCAGAUAAGUCAGUGGUGAAAUCUUCCGGCUUAACCGGAAAAUUGCCGUUGAUACUAUUUGUCUUGAAUAUUGUGGAGGUAAGCGGAAUAUGUCAUGUAGCGGUGAAAUGCUUAGAUAUGACAUAGAACACCAAUUGCGAAGGCAGCUUACUAUAUAAUUAUUGACACUGAGGCACGAAAGCGUGGGUAGCGAACA
rnacentral:rRNA from 1 species